GAUGAACGCUGGCGGCGUGCCUAAUACAUGCAAGUCGAGCGAACAGAUGAGGAGCUUGCUCCUCUGACGUUAGCGGCGGACGGGUGAGUAACACGUGGAUAACCUACCUAUAAGACUGGGAUAACUUCGGGAAACCGGAGCUAAUACCGGAUAAUAUAUUGAACCGCAUGGUUCAAUAGUGAAAGACGGUUUUGCUGUCACUUAUAGAUGUAUCCGCGCCGCAUUAGCUAGUUGGUAAGGUAACGGCUUACCAAGGCAACGAUGCGUAGCCGACCUGAGAGGGUGAUCGGCCACACUGGAACUGAGACACGGUCCAGACUCCUACGGGAGGCAGCAGUAGGGAAUCUUCCGCAAUGGGCGAAAGCCUGCCGGAGCAACGCCGCGUGAGUGAUGAAGGUCUUCGGAUCGUAAAACUCUGUUAUUAGGGAAGAACAAAUGUGUAAGUAACUAUGCACGUCUUGACGGUACCUAAUCAGAAAGCCACGGCUAACUACGUG
rnacentral:rRNA from 1 species